UACGUACCGUCCAAACGUUAUUCGGAAUUACUGGGCGUAAAGGGCUCGUAGGUGGCCAACUAAGUCGGACGUGAAAUCCCUCAGCUUAACUGGGGAACUGCGUCCGAUACUGGAUGGCUUGAGUUUGGGAGAGGGAUGCGGAAUUCCAGGUGUAGCGGUGAAAUGCGUAGAUAUCUGGAGGAACACCGGUGGCGAAGGCGGCUCACUGGUCCGGUACUGACGCUGAGGUGCGAAAGCGUGGGGAGCAAACAGG
rnacentral:rRNA from 1 species